UUGGGUUUGUAGUGAGCAAAGAAAUAUUUGCAAAGACUUUGGAGGCAUAGGAGGGACUCACCUUAUUGUUGUUUUGUUGUGGACAUUAUUUUUUUUUAGUCUGAAGUUGAUUAGAAAAGAGAGGAGGAGGGGCUUUUAAAUUAGCUUAAUUGGUGAGUCAGAGAAAAAUAUUUUGCUACUAUUCUUACAAAAAAAAAACAGAACACUAGUAAGAGAGGUGUAGAGACUUUGUUCUUCUACUCUUAGUGGAGUUUCAAAGAGGAUCCAAGAGGGUGGAGUGACUUUGGGGUACAUCAAGAGGAGAGAAGCUUGUGGUCAUUUCAUUAACAUCAAAGAAAACUCUAGAAAAUUUCUACAACAAGAGAUGAUAUUGCAGAUGUUACUGGAAUGGAGUAGCUCAACGAAAGUGCUGGGAAAUAAAAUUUGUCUGGGAUUUUCUUUAAGUUGCUAUUUAUCGGCGUGUUUAAUUUUUAUAGUUGUAAAAGACAAAUAAUAUGUGUUUUCAAUAUGAUGUAAGAACAUAUAAUAAGUAAUGCUUUGCUUCCGCAUUUAAAAAAAAAAUCUGUAUUUGGACGAGAAUGUUUUAAACGCUUGUAGUUUGAUCUAUUUUAAGUAACAUCUUAUUAAGGGGCGUUACACCUUGAAGUUAUCCUUUGAAGUUUGCAAAUUUAAGUUGUUCAUA
rnacentral:sRNA from 1 species